AUUGAACGCUGGCGGCAGGCCUAACACAUGCAAGUCGAACGAGUGGCGGACGGGUGAGUAAUGUCUGGGAAACUGCCCGAUGGAGGGGGAUAACUACUGGAAACGGUAGCGAAUACCGCAUACCAUCGGAUGUGCCCAGAUGGGAUUAGCUGGUAGGGGAGGUAACGGCUCACCUAGGCGACGAUCCCUAGCUGGUCUGAGAGGGUGACCAGCCACAAUGGAACUGAGACACGGCCCAGACUCCUACGGGAGGCAGCAGUGGGGAAUAUUGCACAAUGGGCGCAAGCCUGAUGCAGCCAUGCCGCGUGUAUGAAGAAGGCCCUAGGGUUGUAAAGUACUUUCAGUCGGGAGGCGUUACCCACAGAAGAAGCACCGGCUAACUCCGUGCCAGCAGCCGCGGUAAUUC
rnacentral:rRNA from 1 species